GCUUUCCGAUCUAAUCUGGGGAAAAGUAACUCGUGCUCAUGGAAAUAGUGGCAUGGUUCGUGCCAAAUUCCGAAGCAACCUUCCUGCUAAAGCCAUUGGCCACAGAAUCCGUGUGAUGCUGUACCCCUCAAGGAUUUAAAUUUAAUGAAAAGUAAAUAAAGGUGUAGAUUUGUU